AGAUUGAACGCUGGCGGCAGGCCUAACACAUGCAAGUCGAGCGGUAGAGAGGUGCUUGCACCUCUUGAGAGCGGCGGACGGGUGAGUAAAGCCUAGGAAUCUGCCUGGUAGUGGGGGAUAACGCUCGGAAACGGACGCUAAUACCGCAUACGUCCUACGGGAGAAAGCAGGGGACCUUCGGGCCUUGCGCUAUCAGAUGAGCCUAGGUCGGAUUAGCUAGUUGGUGAGGUAAUGGCUCACCAAGGCGACGAUCCGUAACUGGUCUGAGAGGAUGAUCAGUCACACUGGAACUGAGACACGGUCCAGACUCCGUACGGGAGGCAGCAGGUGGGGAAUAGUUAGGAACAAGUGGGCGAAAGCCUAGAUCCAGCCAUGCCGCGUGUGUGAAGGUAAGGUCUU
rnacentral:rRNA from 1 species